rnacentral:rRNA from 1 species
UACGAAGGGGGCUAGCGUUGUUCGGAAUUACUGGGCGUAAAGCGCACGUAGGCGGAUUGUUAAGUGAGGGGUGAAAUCCCAGGGCUCAACCCUGGAACUGCCUUUCAUACUGGCAAUCUAGAGUUCGAGAGAGGUGAGUGGAAUUCCGAGUGUAGAGGUGAAAUUCGUAGAUAUUCGGAGGAACACCAGUGGCGAAGGCAGCUUACUAGGCUGUAACUGACGCUGAGGCACGAAAGUGUGGGGAUCAAACAGG